rnacentral:lncRNA from 1 species
UUGAACCCUUGCCGCACCCCCCUUUGCAUUUCCUCUUCCUUCUUUCCUGUUUUUGUGCUUUAAAACACCUUCCUUUUGUGUUUUAAACCCUAGCCGAAUUUCCCUUGCUCUUUCCUUUAAUUUUCUGAUUUAUUUCCUAAUUCUAGAAUCCUUAGACUUAAUUUCUGAUUUCCUAAUCAACCUAGGGUUUUAAUUUCUGUUUUCCUUUAAAUAAACCUCCUUGUUGCAGCCACAAAACAUUCCACACACAUCCAUACAACUCCAUUCACGCCAGAAACCUUUCCCCUACCUUUGCCGUGCCCAACCUUCACCCAAAUCCAUAUUUUCUGACCCCAAAACCUUCCUAGCGUGCCAUACACCCAUCCUAGACACUUUCCCACCAUUCUCCAUCAUCCAAAACCCAUCCAAAUCAUCUCCAUACCUUGUGCCGCAGCAAGAAGGAAGAAGGAGUGCUCUUGAAUGUGCUUGCUAGUCUAUUGCAGAUUGCUGGAACUUUUAGGUGUAAUCUUUCUUAUGUUUUCAAUAUUUCAAUUCAAUAAACUUUGUGUUGUGAGUAUGAGGAACUAAACCCCCUUAGUUGGGGGGUGAUUCGA